AGCCUAUGAUGACUUCAGUACCAGAGUAGUGGACAGAAGUGAUUUCUGAAAACUCUCAGCUGAGGCU
rfam:Calypte anna contig34873, whole genome shotgun sequence.